rnacentral:rRNA from 1 species
UUGCGACCCCAGGUCAGGCGGGAUCACCCGCUGAGUUUAAGCAUAUCAAUAAGCGGUGGAAAAGAAACUUACAAGGAUUCCCUUA